AGGCAUCAGACGAAACGGACUCAGGAAAAAAAGGCAUCAGACGAAACGGACUCAGGUGGAGUAUCACGUUGCCCCGCCCCAGGUGACGUAAAACGCACGCGGUUCAGAGGAAGUGGUAUAUAACGGUUGAUUGAUGGCAAAAGGAGUGAAAGGCGUCUGAGAAGAUUAAUAAAAUCAAGUGAGCCACAGAGAUGGCAUCGUCCAAGAGCACAGGGAGUACAUCCAGAGGCAGUGAGUGAACUUCUUGUCCUGAAACCAAAAUCAGUUGGGAAUACUGGAAUCAAGUCUACCCUACACAAGGCUUACACAGGUCCCCUUCCAGAUGCUGAUGUCUUGGCUUCUGGUGCAAAACUAAGUCAGAUUAAUCCCAAGCCUUUGCUGGCACACAUACUUGAUGGCAUGUCAAAAGUAGAGUUGGUCCCCUCACAAUUCAGUCCUGUACCUCAUGGCAAUCCACUUUCAUACCAAUGUCUCCCUAUAGCUGCAGGUGUUCCUGAUGUUAAUUUUCCCCCACUACCUGUGCUUGGUUAUCAGUUUGGCUGUAAUUUUAAAUUUGUGCCCACACACCAUCAAGAACUUCAUCUGGAGUCUAUAAAGGUUACCCAUAGUUCAGCUUGCCAGAAUGAAGAGGCCAAAAGACUACAGUCAAAAUGCACUGCUCAGGUUCCAUUUAUGAAAAUUCAAAGAGGACUAGCCAAACUUAAAGUGACCCAUAAGUACUACUGGCAGGAACAACAUCAGCUUGCAGUUACUGGUCUACAUUGGUGUGACUUUGUGAGCGACACAAAAUCAGAUUUCACAAUAAAGAGGAUCUGGCGACAUGAUGCCUUCAUAGCAUCAAUGAAAGACAAACUACACAUGUACUAUUAUAACGUUUUCAUGGAA